rnacentral:lncRNA from 1 species
UGUCUCAGCGGAUUCCAGGUUCCAGCUGUAUUUCUAAAGAUUUGUGGGACUCUGCCCUGGGGAGAAGAGCAGAGGGAAACACGAAGGCCAAAACAGCAAAGGCCAGGGAGGCAAGGCCAGCCAGCAGUGGGGCUGGGUGCCCAGUGCUCCUGGGGCAGCUGGGUGGCCACGAGGUCUUCACAGGUCCAGAGACCCGGAGCUUCUCAGCAAGCUGAAUGAGGCAGCGUCCCAGGGGUCCAGAAGCCCAGCCUCGCCCGGCGCUGACUUCAAGAAUGAAGCCGUGGACCUUCGCAGUG